GAUGAACGCUGGCGGCGUGCCUAAUACAUGCAAGUCGAGCGAACGGACGAGAAGCUUGCUUCUCUGAUGUUAGCGGCGGACGGGUGAGUAACACGUGGAUAACCUACCUAUAAGACUGGGAUAACUUCGGGAAACCGUAGCUAAUACCGGAUAAUAUUUUGAACCGCAUGGUUCAAAAGUGAAAGACGGUCUUGCUGUCACUUAUAGAUGGAUCCGCGCUGCAUUAGCUAGUUGGUAAGGUAACGGCUUACCAAGGCAACGAUGCAUAGCCGACCUGAGAGGGUGAUCGGCCACACUGGAACUGAGACACGGUCCAGACUCCUACGGGAGGCAGCAGUAGGGAAUCUUCCGCAAUGGGCGAAAGCCUGACGGAGCAACGCCGCGUGAGUGAUGAAGGUCUUCGGAUCGUAAAACUCUGUUAUUAGGGAAGAACAUAUGUGUAAGUAACUGUGCACAUCUUGACGGUACCUAAUCAGAAAGCCACGGCUAACUACGUGCCGGCAGCCGCGGUAAUACGUAGGUGGCAAGCGUUAUCCGGAAUUAUUGGGCGUAAAGCGCGCGUAGGCGGUUUUUUAAGUCUGAUGUGAAAGCCCACGGCUCAACCGUGGAGGGUCAUUGGAAACUGGAAAACUUGAGUGCAGAAGAGGAAAGUGGAAUUCCAUGUGUAGCGGUGAAAUGCGCAGAGAUAUGGAGGAACACCAGUGGCGAAGGCGACUUUCUGGUCUGUAACUGACGCUGAUGUGCGAAAGCGUGGGGAUCAAACAGGAUUAGAUACCCUGGUAGUCCACGCCGUAAACGAUGAGUGCUAAGUGUUAGGGGGUUUCCGCCCCUUAGUGCUGCAGCUAACGCAUUAAGCACUCCGCCUGGGGAGUACGACCGCAAGGUUGAAACUCAAAGGAAUUGACGGGGACCCGCACAAGCGGUGGAGCAUGUGGUUUAAUUCGAAGCAACGCGAAGAACCUUACCAAAUCUUGACAUCCUUUGACAACUCUAGAGAUAGAGCCUUCCCCUUCGGGGGACAAAGUGACAGGUGGUGCAUGGUUGUCGUCAGCUCGUGUCGUGAGAUGUUGGGUUAAGUCCCGCAACGAGCGCAACCCUUAAGCUUAGUUGCCAUCAUUAAGUUGGGCACUCUAAGUUGACUGCCGGUGACAAACCGGAGGAAGGUGGGGAUGACGUCAAAUCAUCAUGCCCCUUAUGAUUUGGGCUACACACGUGCUACAAUGGACAAUACAAAGGGCAGCGAAACCGCGAGGUCAAGCAAAUCCCAUAAAGUUGUUCUCAGUUCGGAUUGUAGUCUGCAACUCGACUACAUGAAGCUGGAAUCGCUAGUAAUCGUAGAUCAGCAUGCUACGGUGAAUACGUUCCCGGGUCU
rnacentral:rRNA from 1 species